AUGCUGCGGGAGCUGCGGCGGCGCUGGGGCUCCUACAAGUAUCGCUUCGUGCCCUGGCUCGCCCUCAACCUCCGCCGCCAGCGAAGGACCCUUCGAUAUGUUCCUGAAAGCUCUCAAGACAAAAUUAUUGCUGAUGAAGAUGUCUUUGAAACACUACUGAAAACAUUUAAAGCUCUGUUCAUAAAUGACUUCAGUAGACAAGCAGAUAUUCUGGCCUUACUUCCAGAAGUCAAGAGUCAAUAUCUGGAAUUACUGACUGUGGAGCAGAAGCGGUCAAAAGUAAAUUCUUGUAACCAUCAGGGUCAGCACGUGUUUAGUCCUGAGGAAGUUUUGUUUAACACGCUUGGGUUCACUGUUAGCAGAGACCGGAGUUCCCUGGUGUCUGCUGGAACUGGAGUCUUUGUUACCAAAGGUUUUGUACCGAAAGGGACGGUUGUGUCUAUGUAUCCUGGUACAGUAUACAGAAAGCAUGAGCCCAUCUUUUUCCAGUCCCUUGGCAAUCCCUUUAUUUUUAGGUGCAUUGAUGGUGUCCUUAUUGAUGGGAAUGAUAAAGGACUGUCAAGAUCAGUGUACAGGUCUUGCAGCAGAAGAGAUCAACUUGGCCCUUUUCAAAUGAGUGAUGAGAGCUGGCUCACAGCCACCCCGCAAAACCCACUGGCAGUGGGACAGUAUGUCAACAACUGCUCACAUGAAAAAGCAGCAAACGUGUGUUAUCAAGAGUUUGAUGUGCCGGGACAUUUUCCAGUAGAACUGAAACAAUAUCUUCCAAACAUCGUCUACAGCCAUGAUGUAGAGAGGUUGGCAGCAAAUGAAAGAGCUCGUAGAUUUGUAUGAUACAAAGCAUAUUGCAUGUGUAAAGAAAAGACAGACAUGGUUGAAAAAUAACAAACCAUAUGAAGAUGAGUUACACAAGUGUGCAACUGUAUGAGAGAGUUACCUCUCUGAAUAGAGAGCCACUUGAGAUGUGUAGUCCUUGUCACUCUCAGAGACAUCAAGCAAGGAGAAGAACUUUUUUCAAAUUACU